rnacentral:lncRNA from 1 species
CAACUCGAUCGUAUAUUUGGAUUGGUUUUUCAAUAAGCUACAACUCUCUUUGUUUUCUAGCCGCUAUUAUAAUUAGUUAAUUUCCGCUAGUCUAAUCUUUAAACUCGAUCUUCUCAUGUAUGAAAUAUUUCUCUCAGUUUUCUCAUUUAAUUAUCUUUCUUCUUAUAUGUAGUAGUUCAUUUGCAAAAUUUAUAUGAAUUUAUUUAAUUUUUAUCGAUAAAAGCAAACUUUUUUUUAAUAAAAAAAGUUACUAUUUCAAAAAUUAAAAUAAAUUCAUUCAUUUUGCAAGUUAAGUUGUAUGAAAUACAUACAUAAAAGAAGAGGAAAGGGGUACUUGUCCAGUCCACUGCAGGCUUCGAUCGACUGAUCAAAUCAACUGGCAUAUAUAUAUAUAUAUAUAUAUAUAUAUAUAUAUAUAUAUAUUAUAAACGGGAAAAAUCAAGUGGAGAAAUGAUGAUCGUGGAGUUUGGAACGACACCUAGCUCCUAUUAGGAAAACAGAGACAUGAAAAUGCCAUUCUUAGAAUGUUGUUAAGAACUCGUCCUCUUUCUGGGAUCCAACGAGGUGAAGUGGCGCCGGUAGGUGAUCUUUGGAACCUUCUGAAAUGCGGCGGCGGCGGCGGUGGCGGUACUGUAGUGGUGGUGAAGGUAACCGCGGCGGUGUGUUAAAUUUUAGUGCCGACUUGGAGUAUAUGUAUAUAUGUGUGGAGUCCGCGUUUUUCAAGGAACAAACGAGUUAGCCUACUCCUAUUUGAGUUUUUGUUUUUGUGGAGUCGGCGUUU